AUUGAACGCUGGCGGCAUGCUUUACACAUGCAAGUCGAACGGCAGCGCGGGCUUCGGCCUGGCGGCGAGUGGCGAACGGGUGAGUAAUGCAUCGGAACGUGCCCAGUAGUGGGGGAUAGCCCGGCGAAAGCCGGAUUAAUACCGCAUACGACCUGAGGGUGAAAGCGGGGGACCGAGAGGCCUCGCGCUAUUGGAGCGGCCGAUGUCGGAUUAGCUAGUUGGUGGGGUAAAGGCUUACCAAGGCGACGAUCCGUAGCUGGUCUGAGAGGACGACCAGCCACACUGGGACUGAACCACGGCCCAGACUCCUACGGGCGGCCGCAGUGGGGAAUUUUGGACAAUGGGGGCAACCCUGAUCCAGCCAUGCCGCGUGCGGGAAGAAGGCCUUCGGGUUGUAAACCGCUUUUGUUCGGGAAGAAAUCCUCUGGGCUAAUACCCCGGGGGGAUGACGGUACCGGAAGAAUAAGCACCGGCUAACUACGUG
rnacentral:rRNA from 1 species